UACAGAGGGUGCAAGCGUUGUUCGGAAUUAUUGGGCGUAAAGGGCGCGUAGGCGGUGCUGUAAGUCUGUGGUGAAAUCUCUGGCUCAACUCAGAGUCUGCCAUAGAAACUGCAGUGCUGGAGUGUGGGAGAGGUGAGUGGAAUUCCCGGUGUAGCGGUGAAAUGCGUAGAUAUCAGGAGGAACACCUGUGGCGAAAGCGGCGCACUGGACCACAACUGACGCUGAGGCGCGAAAGCUAGGGGAGCAAACAGG
rnacentral:rRNA from 1 species